UGCAGUCGAACGGAAAGGCCCUUCGGGGUACUCGAGUGGCGAACGGGUGAGUAACACGUGGGUGAUCUGCCCUGCACUUUGGGAUAAGCCUGGGAAACUGGGUCUAAUACCGAAUAUGACCGCAUGCUUCAUGGUGUGUGGUGGAAAGCUUUUGCGGUGUGGGAUGGGCCCGCGGCCUAUCAGCUUGUUGGUGGGGUAAUGGCCUACCAAGGCGACGACGGGUAGCCGGCCUGAGAGGGUGACCGGCCACACUGGGACUGAGAUACGGCCCAGACUCCUACGGGAGGCAGCAGUGGGGAAUAUUGCACAAUGGGCGCAAGCCUGAUGCAGCGACGCCGCGUGAGGGAUGACGGCCUUCGGGUUGUAAACCUCUUUCAAUAGGGACGAAGCGCAAGUGACGGUACCUAUAGAAGAAGGACCGGCCAACUACGUGCCAGCAGCCGCGGUAAUACGUAGGGUCCGAGCGUUGUCCGGAAUUACUGGGCGUAAAGAGCUCGUAGGUGGUUUGUCGCGUUGUUCGUGAAAACUCACAGCUUAACUGUGGGCGUGCGGGCGAUACGGGCAGACUAGAGUACUGCAGGGGAGACUGGAAUUCCUGGUGUAGCGGUGGAAUGCGCAGAUAUCAGGAGGAACACCGGUGGCGAAGGCGGGUCUCUGGGCAGUAACUGACGCUGAGGAGCGAAAGCGUGGGGAGCGAACAGGAUUAGAUACCCUGGUAGUCCACGCCGUAAACGGUGGGUACUAGGUGUGGGUUCCUUCCUUGGGAUCCGUGCCGUAGCUAACGCAUUAAGUACCCCGCCUGGGGAGUACGGCCGCAAGGCUAAAACUCAAAGAAAUUGACGGGGGCCCGCACAAGCGGCGGAGCAUGUGGAUUAAUUCGAUGCAACGCGAAGAACCUUACCUGGGUUUGACAUGCACAGGACGCUGGUAGAGAUAUCAGUUCCCUUGUGGCCUGUGUGCAGGUGGUGCAUG
rnacentral:rRNA from 1 species